rnacentral:rRNA from 1 species
ACCAGACUCCUACGGGAGGCAGCAGUGGGGAAUAUUGCACAAUGGGGGAAACCCUGAUGCAGCGACGCCGCGUGAGCGAUGAAGUAUUUCGGUAUGUAAAGCUCUAUCAGCAGGGAAGAAAAUGACGGUACCUGACUAAGAAGCCCCGGCUAACUACGUGCCAGCAGCCGCGGUAAUACGUAGGGGGCAAGCGUUAUCCGGAUUUACUGGGUGUAAAGGGAGCGUAGACGGCAGCGCAAGUCCGAAGUGAAAGCCCGGGGCCCAACCCCGGGACUGCUUUGGAAACUGUGAAGCUGGAGUGCGGGAGGGGCAGGCGGAAUUCCUGGUGUAGCGGUGAAAUGCGUAGAUAUCAGGAGGAACACCGGCGGCGAAGGCGGCCUGCUGGACCGUAACUGACGUUGAGGCUCGAAAGCGUGGGGAGCAAACAGGAUUAGAUACCCGGGUACC